GACGUAGGAGGCGAGCGUUGUCCGGAUUCAUUGGGCGUAAAGAGCACGCAGGCGGUUUGGCAAGUCGGAUGUGAAAACCCGAAGCUCAACUUCGGGCCUGCAUCCGAAACUGCCCGACUAGAGGUAGGUAGGGGAGAUCGGAAUUCCUGGUGUAGAGGUGAAAUUCGUAGAUAUUCGGAAGAACACCAGUGGCGAAGGCGGCUCACUGGCCCGGUACUGACGCUGAGGUGCGAAAGCGUGGGGAGCAAACAGGG
rnacentral:rRNA from 1 species